AUGGAAUUCUAUAUAACCUAGUGGCGGACGGGUGAGUAACGCGUGAGGAACCUGCCUUUCAGUGGGGGACAACAGUUGGAAACGACUGCUAAUACCGCAUGAUGUCAAUUGGGGGCAUCCCCGAAUGACCAAAGGAUUUAUUCGCUGAAAGAUGGGCUCAUAUCUGAUUAGCUAGUUGGUGAGGUAACGGCUCACCAAGGCUGCGAUCAGUAGCCGGCCUGAGAGGGUGAACGGCCACAUUGGGACUGAGACACGGCCCAAACUCC
rnacentral:rRNA from 1 species